rnacentral:rRNA from 1 species
UGGGGAAUAUUGCACAAUGGGGGAAACCCUGAUGCAGCGACGCCGCGUGAGCGAAGAAGGCUUUCGAGUCGUAAAGCUCUGUCCUAUGAGAAGAUAAUGACGGUAUCAUAGGAGGAAGCCCUGGCUAAAUACGUGCCAGCAGCCGCGGUAAUACGUAUGGGGCGAGCGUUGUCCGGAAUUAUUGGGCGUAAAGGGUACGUAGGCGGUCUAUUAAGUCAGGUGUGAAAGCGUGAGGCUUAACCUCAUUAAGCACUUGAAACUGAUAGACUUGAGUGAAGGGGAGGAAAGUGGAAUUCCUAGUGUAGCGGUGAAAUGCGUAGAUAUUAGGAGGAAUACCGGUGGCGAAGGCGACUUUCUGGACUUUUACUGACGCUCAGGUACGAAAGCGUGGGGAGCAAACAGG